rnacentral:rRNA from 1 species
GACGAACGCUGGCGGCGUGCUUAACACAUGCAAGUCGUACGGUAAGGCCCUUUCGGGGGUACACGAGUGGCGAACGGGUGAGUAACACGUGAGUAACCUGCCCACAACUUUGGGAUAACGCUAGGAAACUGGUGCUAAUACUGGAUAUGUGCUCCUGCUGCAUGGUGGGGGUUGGAAAGCUCCGGCGGUUGUGGAUGGACUCGCGGCCUAUCAGCUUGUUGGUGGGGUAGUGGCCUACCAAGGCGGCGACGGGUAGCCGGCCUGAGAGGGUGACCGGCCACAUUGGGACUGAGAUACGGCCCAGACUCCUACGGGAGGCAGCAGUGGGGAAUAUUGCACAAUGGGCGCAAGCCUGAUGCAGCAACGCCGCGGGCGGGAUGACGGCCUUCGGGUUGUAAACCGCUUUCAGCAGGGACGAAGCUUUUUGUGACGGUACCUGCAGAAGAAGCACCGGCUAACUACGUG